AUAGCGGCUGAGAUAAGACGGUUAGGUUCAUAUACUCACUAUGGGCACCCAGUAUAGCGGCUGAGAUAAGACGGUGAGGUUCAUAUACUCACUAUGGGCACCCAGGAUAGGGGUGAGUGGGUUAGGUUCAUAUACUCACUAUGGGCACCCAGUAUAGCGGCUGAGAUAAGACGGUGAGGUUCAUAUUCUCACUAUGGGCACCCAGGAUAGGGGUGAGUGGGUUAGGUUCAUAUUCUCACUAUGGGCACCCAGUAUAGCGGCUGAGAUAAGACGGUUAGGUUCAUAUACUCACUAUGGGCACCCAGGAUAGCGGCUGAGAUAAGACGGUGAGGUUCAUAUACUCACUAUGGGCACCCAGGAUAGGGGUGAGUGGGUUAGGUUCAUAUACUCACUAUGGGCACCCAGUAUAGCGGCUGAGAUAAGACGGUUAGGUUCAUAUACUCACUAUGGGCACCCAGUAUAGCGGCUGAGAUAAGACGGUGAGGUUCAUAUUCUCACUAUGGGCACCCAGUAUAGCGGCUGAGAUAAGACGGUUAGGUUCAUAUACUCACUGUGGGCACCCAGUAUAGCGGCUGAGAUAAGACGGUCAGGUUCAUAU